rnacentral:rRNA from 1 species
GAUGAACGCUGGCGGCGUGCUUAACACAUGCAAGUCGAACGAUGAAGCAGGAACUUGUUCUGGUGGAGUAGUGGCGAACGGGUGAGUAACACGUGAGCAACCUGCCCCUGACUCUGGGAUAACAGCAGGAAACGGAUGCUAAUAUCGGAUAUGAUCCAAGAACGCAGGUUCAGCGGGGGGAAAGAUUAUUUGGUGGGGGAGGGGUACCCGGCGUAGCAGCUGGUUGGUGGGGGAUUGGAUGACCAAGGCGUCGACGGGUAGCAGGCCUUAGAGGGUGACCGGCCACAAUGGGCCUGAGAGACGGCCCAGACUCCUACGGGAGGCAGCAGUGGGGAAUAUUGCACAAUGGGCGCAAGCCUGAUGCAGCAACGCCGCGUGAGGGAUGACGGCCUUCGGGUUGUAAACCUCUUUUGGCAGGGAAGAAGCGAGUGUGACGGUACCUGCAGAAAAAGCGCCGGCUAACUACGUG